CGCAGGGUCCCGCUCGAGUUCGAAGCCCUGUGAACCCCGUCAGGCCCGGAAGGGUGCAGCGGUAGCGGGGCGACGGCGGCGAGUGGGGGUGCCCUGCGGUC
rnacentral:SRP_RNA from 1 species